CUCUACUGUGCUUCUCUCACCCUUUCUUUCUGCUCUCUUAGAGAUGCCUUUAAUACUCAGGUCAGCUGACGGCUACGUUCCAAGCAAGCAUCAUAUCCCAGCAAGACAAUGCUCAGUGUUGAAGAGGAGGCAUUGUCAUACCUAGGUCUAGGACGCCAGCUGCACGUCAGAGAGGGAUCCAGAAGCUGCGGGGCACAGGCCUGGGGACCAGGAAUCUCUAAGAUCACCGUGACGCCGCGAAAGUUUCCGUCCAGGAGCAGCGCCUGACGAGCCUGUCUCAGUUUCCAAGGUGGCUGCACGAGCGC
rnacentral:lncRNA from 1 species